rnacentral:rRNA from 1 species
AGUUGGAUUUCUGUUAAUAAUUUAUAUAAAAUAUUUUGAUGAAUAUUUAUAUAAUAUUAACAUAAUUCAUAUUACUAUUUUUUUUUUUAGUAUAUGAAAUUUUACUUUGAGAAAAUUAGAGUGCUUAAAGCAGGCAUAUGCCUUGAAUACUCCAGCAUGGAAUAAUAUUAAAGAUUUUUAUCUUUUUUAUUGGUUCUAAGAUAAGAAUAAUGAUUAAUAGGGACAGUUGGGGGCAUUUGUAUUUAACAGUCAGAGGUGAAAUUCUUAGAUUUGUUAAAGACAAACUAAUGCGAAAGCAUUUGCCAAGGAUGUUUUCAUUAAUCAAGAACGAAAGUUAGGGGAUCGAAGACGAUCAGAUACCGUCGUAGUCUUAACCAUAAACUAUGCCAACUAGAGAUUGGAGGUUGUUCCUUA